rnacentral:rRNA from 1 species
UACGUAGGCAGCGAGCGUUGUUCGGAGUUACUGGGCGUAAAGGGUGUGUAGGGCGGUUUUCUAAGUUUGGUGUGAAAUCUCCCGCUUAACCGGGAGGGUGCGCCGAAAACUGGGAGACUAGAGUGGCGGGAUGGGAGAGUAGAAUUCCUGGUGUAGCGGUGAAAAUGCGUAGAUAUCAGGAGGAAUACCGGUGGUGCAGACGGCU